CAAGUCGAACGAUGAUGCUGGAGCUUGCUCCAGUUGAUUAGUGGCGAACGGGUGAGUAACACGUGAGCAAUCUGCCCUUGACUCUGGGAUAACUGCGGGAAACUGUAGCUAAUACCGGAUACUUUCACCGGAAGGCAUCUUCUGGUGAUGAAAGAAUUUCGGUCAGGGAUGAGCUCGCGGCCUAUCAGCUUGUUGGUGAGGUAACGGCUCACCAAGGCGACGACGGGUAACCGGCCUGAGAGGGUGACCGGUCACACUGGGACUGAGACACGGCCCAGACUCCUACGGGAGGCAGCAGUGGGGAAUAUUGCACAAUGGGCGCAAGCCUGAUGCAGCAACGCCGCGUGAGGGAUGAAGGCCUUCGGGUUGUAAACCUCUUUUAGCAGGGAAGAAGCGAAAGUGACGGUACCUGCAGAAAAAGCACCGGCUAACUACGUGCCAGCAGCCGCGGUAAUACGUAGGGUGCAAGCGUUGUCCGGAAUUAUUGGGCGUAAAGAGCUCGUAGGCGGUUUGUCACGUCUGCUGUGAAAAUCCAAGGCUCAACCUUGGACUUGCAGUGGGUACGGGCAGGCUAGAGUGCGGUAGGGGAGAUGGGAAUUCCUGGUGUAGCGGUGGAAUGCGCAGAUAUCAGGAGGAACACCAAUGGCGAAGGCACAUCUCUGGGCCGUAACUGACGCUGAGGAGCGAAAGCGUGGGGAGCAAACAGGAUUAGAUACCCUGGUAGUCCACGCCGUAAACGGUGGGUGCUAGCUGUGGGCCACAUUCCACGUGGUCCGUAACGAAGUUAACACAUUAAGCACCCCGCCUGGGGAGUACGGCCGCAAGGCUAAACUCAAAGGAAUUGACGG
rnacentral:rRNA from 1 species